AUGGAUAUAGAUUUAGAUUUAUUCGUUUAGAUCAUGUAAGUAUUUUGAUGGUUGUAAUAUGGAUUUGUACAUUUUUGCGAUAUAAUAUUUUUUAGACGAUAAUGCGAAGGUAAUACGGAAUUGGAUGCGGAAUGGAGUAGAUAAAGGGUUGAAGAAGGAAAGAAGAUCCGUUAUAUUUUUGCCAAGUUGUGCGUGACUUUGAGUAUAUUCCUCAUCAAGAAAGCGUAUACCUGUUUCAGAGUAUUUCUAAACACCGUUCCGCUCUAUUUUCAGGAGUAAGGCUCGAAUAUUAGCAGCUGCGACGUAACACAGUUUCCUUUAUUCGUAGAAGACCAGUAGAAGGGUAUUUAUGAAAUUGAGGCAUUUCAGAAAGGUAAGUAUGGAAAAGGUAAGUAUAGGACUGUUCUCAGUCCUUUAGUAUAUAAGUAAAAUGGCCAAAAAAGGCAAAAAAAUUUAAAAAA